rnacentral:rRNA from 1 species
GACGAACGCUGGCGGCGUGCUUAACACAUGCAAGUCGAACGGAAAGGCCCUGCUUUUGUGGGGUGCUCGAGUGGCGAACGGGUGAGUAACACGUGAGUAACCUGCCCUUGACUUUGGGAUAACUUCAGGAAACUGGGGCUAAUACCGGAUAGGAGCUCCUGCUGCAUGGUGGGGGUUGGAAAGUUUCGGCGGUUGGGGAUGGACUCGCGGCUUAUCAGCUUGUUGGUGGGGUAGUGGCUUACCAAGGCUUUGACGGGUAGCCGGCCUGAGAGGGUGACCGGCCACAGUGGGACUGAGAUACGGCCCAGACUCCUACGGGGGGCAGCAGUGGGGAAUAUUGCACAAUGGGCGGAAGCCUGAUGCAGCAACGCCGCGUGCGGGAUGACGGCCUUCGGGUUGUAAACCGCUUUCGCCUGUGACGAAGCGUGAGUGACGGUAAUGGGUAAAGAAGCACCGGCUAACUACGUG